CCGUACCCGUACCGUAAACCGACACAGGUGGAUGAGGAGAGAAUCCUAAGGCCGGCGGAAGUAGCAUUGUCAAGGAACUCGGCAAAAUGACCCCGUAACUUCGGGAGAAGGGGUGCCUGUGAGAACAGGCCGCAGAGAAUAGGCUCAAGCAACUGUUUAGCAAAAACACAGGUCUAUGCGAAACCGAAAGGUGAGGUAUAUGGGCUGACGCCUGCCCGGUGCUGGAAGGUUAAGAGGAGAGGUUAGCGGUAACGCGAAGCUUUGAAUUUAAGCCCCAGUAAACGGCGGCCGUAACUAUAACGGUCCUAAGGUAGCGAAAUUCCUUGUCGGGUAAGUUCCGACCCGCACGAAAGGCGUAAUGAUUUGAGCGCUGUCUCGACAAUGCAUCCGGUGAAAUUGAAGUACCAGUGAAGAUGCUGGUUACCUGCGCCAGGACGGAAAGACCCCAUGGAGCUUUACUCCAGUUUGGUACUGGGGUCCGGUAUUGCAUGUACAGGAUAGGUGGGAGGCUGAGAAGCAACAACGCCAGUUGCUGCGGAGCCGCUGUUGGGAUACCACCCUUGCAGUACUGGGCUUCUAACCAGCCGCCGUGAACCGGCGGUGGGACAAUGCCAGACGGGGAGUUUGACUGGGGCGGUCGCCUCCGAAAGGGUAUCGGAGGCGCCCAAAGGUUCCCCCAGAAUGGACGGAAACCAUUCGAAGAGUGCAAAGGCAGAAGGGAGCUUGACUGCGACACCGACGGGUGGAUCAGGUACGAAAGUAGGGCUUAGUGAUCCGGUGGUAUUAAGUGGGAAUGCCAUCGAUCAACGGAUAAAAGCUACCCUGGGAUAACAGGCUUAUCACUCCCAAGAGUUCACAUCGACGGAGUGGUUUGGCACCUCGAUGUCGGCUCAUCGCAUCCUGGGGCUGUAGUAGGUCCCAAGGGUUGGGCUGUUCGCCCAUUAAAGCGGUACGCGAGCUGGGUUCAGAACGUCGUGAGACAGUUCGGUCCCUAUCCGGCGUGGGCGUAGGAUAUCUGAGAGGAGCUGUCCUUAGUACGAGAGGACCGGGAUGGACGGACCGCUGGUGUACCGGUUAGACUGCCAAGUCUACGGCCGGGUAGCCAAGUCCGGAAGGGAUAAACGCUGAAGGCAUCUAAGCGUGAAGCCCCCCUCAAGAUGAGAUGUCCCAUUCGAAAGAAGUAAACCCCCUUGAAGACGACGAGGUAGAUAGGGCAGGGGUGGAAGUGCAGUAAUGCACGGAGCUGACUGUUACUAAUAGGGUGAGGGCUUGACC
rnacentral:rRNA from 1 species